rnacentral:rRNA from 1 species
GGCUCGCAGGCGGUUUCUUAAGUCUGAUGUGAAAGCCCCCGGCUCAUCCGGGGAGGGUCAUUGGAAACUGGGGAACUUGAGUGCAGCUUAAGAGAGUGGAAUUCCACGUGUAGCGGUGAAAUGCGUAGAGAUGUGGAGGAACACCAGUGGCGAAGGCGACUCUCUGGUCUGUAACUGACGCUGAGGAGCGAAAGCGUGGGGAGCGAACAGGAUUAGAUACCCUGGUACUCCACGCCGUAAACGAUGAGUGCUAAGUGUUAGGGGGUUUCCGCCCCUUACUGCUGCCGCUAACGCAUUAACCCCUCCGCCUGGGGAGUACGGUCGCAAGACUGAAACUCAAAGGAAUUGAC